rnacentral:rRNA from 1 species
UACGGGGGGAGCAAGCGUUGUUCGGAUUUACUGGGCGUAAAGGGCGCGUAGGCGGCCAGCACAAGUCAGUUGUGAAAUCUCCGAGCUUAACUCGGAAAGGUCAACUGAUACUGUGCGGCUAGAGUGCGGAAGGGGCAACUGGAAUUCUUGGUGUAGCGGUGAAAUGCGUAGAUAUCAAGAGGAACACCUGCGGCGAAGGCGGGUUGCUGGGCCGACACUGACGCUGGGGCGCGAAAGCCAGGGGAGCGAACAGG